rnacentral:lncRNA from 1 species
UUGUAAGUUUUUUUUUAUUUAUUCUGAUAUAUGUAAUGGCAAUCUGCCUAUGAUGGAUGUAUGAAAAAAAUACAAUUCAUUUUUUUUUCAUCAAUACUCCCAACUAUUCUUCAUGCUUCUUCUUUCUUUGCUUUAGUUCUGUUCUUGUUUUCCUUCCAAUUUCUGCUCUUAAAGCUUGAACUUCAAGCAUUUUUCCUCCAUAUUUUACCCGGGUAUAUUACGUUGCUGCUGGUGCUCUGUUUGCAACUCUUACUUUACCCGGUUAAAGUAC